rnacentral:rRNA from 1 species
CAGUAGCCGCGGGAAUACGGAGGGGGCUAGCGUUGUUCGGAAUUACUGGGCGUAAAGCGCGCGCAGGCGGUUACUCAAGUCAGAGGUGAAAGCCCGGGGCUCAACCCCGGAACUGCCUUUGAAACUAGGUGACUAGAAUCUUGGAGAGGUCAGUGGAAUUCCGAGUGUAGAGGUGAAAUUCGUAGAUAUUCGGAAGAACACCAGUGGCGAAGGCGACUGACUGGACAAGUAUUGACGCUGAGGUGCGAAAGCGUGGGGAGCAAACAGGAUUAGAUACCCCCGUAGUCCCUGUCUCUUAUAC